UACGGGGGGGGCGAGCGUUGUCCGGAUUUACUGGGCGUAAAGCGCGCGCAGGCGGCCUGAUCAGUCUGGGGUGAAAUCUCACGGCUCAACUGUGAGCGGUCCCUGGAUACUGUCAGUCUUGAGAUGUCUAGAGGAGAGCGGAAUUCCCGGUGUAGUGGUGGAAUGCGUAGAUAUCGGGAAGAACACCAGUGGCGAAAGCGGCUCUCUGGGGACCAUCUGACGCUGAGGCGCGAAAGCGUGGGGAGCGAACCGG
rnacentral:rRNA from 1 species